rnacentral:lncRNA from 1 species
UGAUCUGGCGGAUACCCACCUUGUGGCCUUGGCAUAAAAUGCCUUUUAAACCUUUUAUGAAGCGAUACUAACAUCUAGUCAUGUGGCCUAGCAGAUACCUGCCCUGUGGCCUUGGCAUAAAAUGCCUUAGAAACUUUUUGAGAAAUGAGACUAACGCCCGGUCGUGUGGCCUGGCUAACACUCACCUUAUGGCCUGGACAUAAAAUGCCUUUUAAAUUUUUUGUGAAGCG